rnacentral:rRNA from 1 species
UACGUAGGGUGCAAGCGUUGUCCGGAAUUAUUGGGCGUAAAGGGCUCGUAGGCGGUCCGUCACGUCGGGAGUGAAAUCCUGGGGCUUAACCCCAGAACUGCUUCCGAUACGGGCAGACUAGAGGUAGGUAGGGGAGAAUGGAAUUCCUGGUGUAGCGGUGAAAUGCGUAGAUAUCGGGAGGAACACCUGUGGCGAAAGCGGCUCACUGGACCACAACUGACGCUGAGGCGCGAAAGCUAGGGGAGCAAACAGGG